rnacentral:tRNA from 1 species
CGCCGCCUGGGUGGCGGAACACCGGCCGCGGCGGGAUCGCGGCGGUCUAAGGCGGUGGUUCGGCCGUCACUGACGAUGG